UGUCCGUAUGUCCACCUUAGUAGAAUGAAACAAAAAAGAAAAAGAAGAAGCAAGUCUUGAUGCUGGUUGUAAACGCUUGUUUCAUUGCGUCUCGGUUGGUGGCAGAGUGGUUAAAGCAGAGAGCGAGAAAAAAAUAUGAUAAAUUAGUGCAGCAAAAAGUAUAUCUGUGAAAUAUAUUCACGAAAAGGGGCUGGCUGUGAUAUUUGGAGGAAAUUUGAAUAGGAAAGUGUACACCUUUAUCGCUGGUCGGUUUGCAACUGUAUAUUCGUUUGUCCUUUUUUGUAUAUAAUAAUUCAUGCAGUUCAUAGUUCAUGUAGAUCGAGCAGUUUCUAACGUCGAGUAGUUUAUAACCUAAUCUUAGUUUCCUAACGCUUUGUUUUAUGCAAUUCAAAUUUAUGUUCGAAAAUAAUUAUUCUAAUUCCAACAUUCCCGGCCACCAAAGAAGAACUUCUUUAAAUUUCAUGCAAAAUAUAAAUCCAAAAAUGAGUUCAAAAAAGAAUUCAAAAACAGUUCGACUCUUGAACCUGACGCUUAUCUCCUAUCAUACUGCUCGUGUGUGUAGAUGUGUGAAUGUGUGUUGCGUGUAUAUUGUUCUGCCAUGAGUGCGAAAUGUAAACAAUGUCGCGUGGCUUGCAGCUGCGCGUUACUCAGUGCCAGUGGUUUCCUUCUGCUCUAAGUUGCUAAUUACGUCCGGAUUAGGCAAAACUGCCAGACGAUUAGCUGCGCGGACGAUUUGCUUCCCUGAAGCAGUGCGCAGUGUAACGACGCGAACAACAUCGUCCUUUCCAGGGUGUACUGCAACGAUGCGCCCCAUCGGCCACGAGGUAGGAUGUACAUUGUCUUCCUUAAUAAUCACCAGUGUAUUUUCUUUCAGAACCGCUGAUUUCCCGUUGCAAUAUUUGGCUCGAGCUUGUAACUGCUGCAGGUACUCCGGAUACCAUCGAGCCCAAAAGGUUUGCAGAUGUUUUUGUACCAACUGGUAUUCCCUCAAAUAGUUGCUCGGUGUCUCGGUGUAAUCGAUGAUUGGUACCGCUUGCAGAUUGCCACCGACGAGGAAGUGUCCCGGUGUCAAUGGUUCCAAGUCCGACGGCUCAUCGGAUAGAGGUGUAAUUGGUCGCGAAUUCAAACAUUGCUCUACCUGGGCAAGUAGGCUGCCUUCACCGCCGCCUCCCAUAAACCUCCAAAAUGUGGUGCUCUUGGUGGGAUAAACUUCCACUUCAUAUGAUUCAUCGCGCACCAAUCAAAUAUAGCAGCUCGAUCGUGUUCGUCGCUCUUUAGCAUCUUGUAGACGCGAUUCAGCUCAUGUGCCGCUCCCUUAAAGGUGGUUGCAUUGUCGGAAUGCAGUUCACUGAUUUGACCACGACGUGCAAUCAAACGACGAAGUGCAUUGAUAAAUGCUGUUGAUGUUAAAUCGCCAACCAGUUCGAUAUGUACCGCUCUUGUUGAAAAACAUACAAAUAUGGCGAUGUAUGCUUUAAUCGGACUUCUGUUGCGUAUGGUUUGUUUUAUAUAGAUUGGUCCGCAAUAGUCUACUCCGCAUACUGAGAAUGGUCUUGUUGGUGUGACUCGUGAUGUUGGCAAAUCGGCGAUACUUUGCUUAAUAAGUGUGGGUUUGGCCUUAAAACAUGCGUGGCAACUGUGGUACACAGACUUGCAUAAAUUGCGACCGCCAAUUAUCCAAAAGCUUUGGCGUAGUGUUGUUAAAAGCAGUUGUGGUGCAGCAUGCAGCUUACUCAAGUGUAUCGAAACAGCUAGUAGUGCGGACAGUGGAUGUUUCGAUGAUAAUAUUACCGGGUGUUUUUCUGAUUCCGACAGAUGUGCGUUACUGAGCCGGCCACCAAUGCGCAGAAUACCUUGCGUAUCUAUGAAAGGGGAAAUCCAUUUCAGUUUGGAGUUCUUCGGAAUCUCUUUGCCCUUCUGCAGGUGUUGUAUCUCCUCGGAAAAGGUGUCUUGUUGCGAAAGAUAACACAACUUGAGUUCUGCCGCCUUGAGUUCGUCUACAGUGAGCGGUGGGAUAUCCUUAGCAUGGACCUUGUUUCCUACGCGGCGCUUUGCGUUUUGUAUAAAGCGCAAACAAUGUGCAACAACUCUUUGCAGUUUGUGGUAGAUCGAAAAUCGUGAGAACAAACUGUUUCGAAAUUCGCAGAUUAAUGCUGUGCUUGCAACCCGUGACGAUAGUUUUUCUUCUUCUGCGCUCUCAUCUUCGCUUGGUGAUGGUGUGUUCUGUGGCCAUUCUUCCGAGUUGCGUGCUAACCAAUGUGGCCCGUGCCACCAGCGCUCACACACUAGCAACUUUUCCGGCGUUAAACCUCGCGAAAUGUCGUCUGCUGGAUUGUCCGAGCCUGGAACAUGCUUCCAGCAUUGUAUUCCAGCCGUGUGCUGAAUUUUUGCAACCCUGUUUGCAACGAAGGGCUUCCAUCGAUUUGGUGCUGAAUUCAGCCAGUGAAGGACAGUCAUGGAAUCGGUCCAACAGAUGGUGGUAGCAGAAAUUUUCAGUGAUUGCUGGACUUUCUCGUAAAGAAGUGUGGCUAGUCGUGCUGCACAUAAUUCCAAUCGAGCUAUGGAAUGUGAAUUGGAUAACGCAACGACCUUUGACUUGGCUGUUAGCAGCUGCACGGUGACUCCUUCCAUGCUUUCAGCCCGAAUGUAGCAACAAGCACCAUAUGCUAGUUGUGAUGCGUCAGCAAAGAUAUGAAUUUGCAGACUUGUUGCCGUGCAUUGCGAUAUGUACCGUGGGACUGUCAAAUUGCGUAGUGAAGAUAAUGUAGAGUGAAAUUUCGACCAUUCAUGCUGUAAGUGCGAUGGUAGCUCGCUGUCCCAGUCAUAUGCCUUUCCAUGAAUCUUGAGAGCCCAUAGUUGCUGCAUGAACAUCUUUGCGAUGAUGAUCGUUGGGCCCAGUAGCCCGAGGGGAUCAAAUAUCUUGGCGAUAUAUGACAAAAUUAACCUUUUCGUCAUGCUGGGUGUUGUAGGUGGUAUCUCAAUACGAAACCGUAGUGUAUCAGUUGCCGGUUCCCAAACGAUGCCUAGUGUGGAUACUUGUUUCGAGCUCUUCCACUCGUGCGAGAGUUGUACCGCCACAUCUUCUGAAGGAACGUUCUUCAAUGCUUCGGAGCGGUUCGAUGCCCAUUUCUUCAGCGUGAAACCAGCUGAAUUUAGCAUGUCUGAGAUUUGCCUUUGUAUAACGAUUGCUUCGGACAAAUCAUCGGUACCCGUUAGCAAAUCAUCUACGUAAAAAUCGUUCAUGACCGCGUUCAUUGCCAAAGGAUACUCUUCCUUGUGGUCAAGAGCAAUCUGUUUGAGGGUCCUGGUUGCCAAAAAUGGAGCAGAGGCUGUGCCGUACGUAACCGUCUGUAGCUCAAAGGUCGAUAUAGGAUCUGCAGGAUGUUCUCUGUACCGGAUGCGUAGAUAGUUACGAUCAUGAGGGCUAUGUAAAAUUUGCCGAUACAUCUUCUCUACGUCUGCAGUGAGAGCAAUGGCACGAGAACGAAACCGAAGGAUAAUCGAUAAAAGAUCUUCUUGAACGACUGGUCCCACUAAGAGUUUAUCGUUCAAUGAGUAACCACUCGAAGUCUUACAGGAUGCAUCGAACACGACACGCACCUUCGUGGUUGUGCUUGACUCUUUAACGACAGCGUGAUGUGGGAGGUAGUAAUGCUCUACCGAAUCGUUUGCAGGACUGCAUUGGUGUUCAACCGCCGUUCGAUAGAACGCAGUCUGCGAUCGGCUAUUUCCUUCGACUCUCCUAAAACGAUAUUAGGGUUGGAGUU